rnacentral:rRNA from 1 species
AGAGUUUGAUCCUGGCUCAGGACGAACGCUGGCGGUGCGCUUCAUGCAUGCAAGUCGAACGAGAGACUCCCGGCUUGCCGGGACUAUCUAGUGGCGAACGGCUGAGUAACACGUGAGAAACUUGCCCUUCGGCGGGGGACAACCACGGGAAACUGUGGCUAAUACCGCAUAAUAUCUUUUCGUGAUGGCGAAAAGACCAAAGGCUUCGGUCACCGAAGGAGAGUCUCGCGGCCUAUCAGCUUGUUGGCGGGGUAAUGGCCCACCAAGGCUAUGACGGGUAGCUGAUCUGAGAGGAUGAUCAGCCAGAGGGGGACUGAGACACGGCCCCCACUCCUACGGGAGGCAGCAGCAGGGAAUCUUGCGCAAUGGGCGAAAGCCUGACGCAGCGACACCGCGUGGGGGAUGAAGGCUCUUGGGUUGUAAACCCCUUUUGCUGGGGAAGAAGAUCUGACGGUACCCAGCGAAUAAGGCCCGGCCAACUACGUGCCAGCAGCCGCGGUAAUACGUAGGGGCCAAGCGUUGUCCGGAUUUAUUGGGCGUAAAGGGUGCGUAGGCGGUUCGGUAAGUCUCCUGUGAAAGCUCCCGGCCCAACCGGGAGAGGUCAGGGGAUACUGCCAGACUUGAGGACGGCAGAGGAAGGUGGAAUUCC